rnacentral:antisense_RNA from 1 species
UUCAAUGGUGGCCUUGUCAGGGCAAUCUUCGGAUUGGCUGGAGACCAUACAGUCCAGUAGUUCCAACCCUGAUAGAUAGCGUCGCCGCCCAU